rnacentral:rRNA from 1 species
UACAGAGGGUGCAAGCGUUAAUCGGAAUUACUGGGCGUAAAGCGUGCGUAGUCGGUUAUCUAAGUCGGAUGUGAAAUCCCCGGGCUCAACCUGGGAAUUGCAUUCGAUACUGGAUAGCUAGAGUUCGGCAGAGGGAAGUGGAAUUUCGGGUGUAGCGGUGAAAUGCGUAGAUAUCCGAAGGAACAUCAGUGGCGAAAGCGACUUCCUGGACCAGAACUGACGAUCAGGCA